rnacentral:rRNA from 1 species
GAUGAACGCUGGCGGCGUGCCUAAUACAUGCAAGUCGAGCGAACGGACGAGAAGCUUGCUUCUCUGAUGUUAGCGGCGGACGGGUGAGUAACACGUGGAUAACCUACCUAUAAGACUGGGAUAACUUCGGGAAACCGGAGCUAAUACCGGAUGAUAUUUUGAACCGCAUGGUUCAAAAGUGAAAGACGGUCUUGCUGUCACUUAUAGAUGGAUCCGCGCUGCAUUAGCUAGUUGGUAAGGUAACGGCUUACCAAGGCAACGAUGCACAGCCGACCUGAGAGGGUGAUCGGCCACACUGGAACUGAGACACGGUCCAGACUCCUACGGGAGGCAGCAGUAGGGAAUCUUCCGCAAUGGGCGAAAGCCUGACGGAGCAACGCCGCGUGAGUGAUGAAGGUCUUCGGGUCGUAAAACUCUGUUAUUAGGGAAGAACAUAUGUGUAAGUAACUGUGCACAUCUUGACGGUACCUAAUGAGAAAGCCACGGCUAACUACGUG